rnacentral:rRNA from 1 species
GAUCAUGGUUCAGGAUGAACGCUAGCUACAGGCUUAACACAUGCAAGUCGAGGGGCAGCAUGACGGAAGCUUGCUUUCGUUGAUGGCGACCGACGCACGGGUGAGUAACGCGUAUCCAACCUGCCCUUGUCCAUCGGAUAACCCGUCGAAAGGCGGACUAACACGAUAUGCAGUUCUCAGCAGGCAUCUAACGAGAACGAAAUGUGAAGGAGAAGGAUGGGGAUGCGU